CACGUAAAUAAAAAAAGAGAAUGCAUUCAAAUUAUUUGCUGACAAACUGUUCUCAGAGUGGUGAACCUCGCUGCACUCGUGCUUGUGAACGACUGAGCCUUUCCAAGCAGCCGUUUUUGGACCUGUUGCUGGCAUCAAAUUCAGGUGUCCCAGCAUUUUUGGAAUCAGGGUUUUGGCUCUGUGUUUGGUCUCCACCAACUCCUGAGGGAAGUAUUUUGCUUUUUCUGUGCAAAACUUGGUGAUGGACUAGACAAAAUUAACUGUACAGGGAGUUUAUUAAAGCGUUUUCACAAGAAAAAACAUUGAUGAGAUGAUGAGAGUGGAGUUGUACUCCGGGAACUGAUGCUGCAUUUGUACGGAUUCAGGUAGAUGGAAGACGGCAUGGGAAACACAGACAUGUAUUGUUAUCUUGCUAUAGAGAUGGAGAAAGAAUGGAAUUAAAUAUCCCUUAUUGCGUACGUACUACAUACAUACUUGUGAGUUCCGUCCGAAAGAUGUAGCGUGGGGAGCGUUUGCUAAUUGACAAGACAUUGAAGAGAGGUCAGUGUUUGGGCGGCGGCUGUUCAGUGUCUGACUUCUAUUCGUUGUGCCAACAUCUGCGAGCCAUAUGUACGUUGGGAUAUUUAAUAAAAAAUUUCUUGUCUAUUACGUUAUAUAACGUUUUAGUAACAGCUUCUCAGAUCACCCAUGUUUUCUCGUUGUGUGAGUGAGUUAUGUAACACCCGUUUGUAAGUUAUGGAGAACGGCAACAUAAUUCACCACUAUUUAGAAUUCGGUAUUCAUCUAAUUUCAUUUGUUCGUUUUGAGUCUUUUGUCUCAGUCAGAAAGAAUCUAAAGUUGUCCUUCAGCUCACCAGCUACCCACUCCUCAUCCCACCUUAAUGACCUCUCACCAGCUGAUGGUGAAGGUAGAGAAGUAAACACCUUGAAAAUGGUUUUCAGAUGAGCUGUGGUCGGACAGGCAUGCAGGCGGCGGCAGUAUCCACGGCCUCUCCCGUCCUGCAGCCCAGCCCCCUCCCACGAGCCCGGAGGCCCCCGCCUGGCUCUGCACAGGCUCAGCGCUCGCUGCAGUUACACAAACAGGUCGUCUUUCCAGAAAACUACAUCAACAAUGGAGCGGGGAGCGGGAAUGGUCUUACUCAGCGAAGGGAUUUGGGGCCCACGGAGUGACUUGGGUUUUAGUUACAAAGCAAAACAUCGGAGCUUAAGCACCCCAAACGUUGAAGCUCUCUUGUCUCCAGCUGGUUGCUUCAGGUGCCAGUCAAAAUGUGAGAACCACCACAAAGACCUCUCAGUGCAGACGGAGCGCUGG